rnacentral:rRNA from 1 species
ACGGGAGGCAGCAGUGGGGAAUAUUGGACAAUGGGGGAAACCCUGAUCCAGCGACGCCGCGUGAGUGAAGAAGUAUUUCGGUAUGUAAAGCUCUAUCAGCAAGGAAGAGGAUGACGGUACUUGACUAAGAGGCUCCGGCUAAAUACGUGCCAGCAGCCGCGGUAAUACGUAUGGAGCAAGCGUUAUCCGGAUUUACUGGGUGUAAAGGGAGCGUAGACGGUGUGGCAAGUCUGAAGUGAAAGCCCGGGGCUCAACCCCGGGACUGCUUUGGAAACUGUCGCACUAGAGUGCAGGAGAGGUAAGUGGAAUUCCUAGUGUAGCGGUGAAAUGCGUAGAUAUUAGGAGGAACACCAGUGGCGAAGGCGGCUUACUGGACUGUAACUGACGUUGAGGCUCGAAAGCGUGGGGAGCAAACAGGAUUAGAUACCCUGGUA